rnacentral:ncRNA from 1 species
CGCUUCGAGGAGCGUUGCGACGGCUUUCAUCUACGAAGGCCGCCAGGCUCGAAGCAUUCAAUCGGACGGAGUGACCGGCGCUUUCAGACCAGUAAGCGCUUGUUGAACCACCGCAUCGAACGGCGCUCACGUCAA